GUUUUUCGCUUGAGGAUGAGCCCAUGUGGGAUUAGCUAGUUGGUGAGGUAAUGGCUCACCAAGGCGACGAUCCCUAACUGGUCUUAGAGGAUGAUCAGUCACACUGGAACUGAGACACGGUCCAGACUCCUACGGGAGGCAGCAGUAGGGAAUAUUGCACAAUGGGGGAAACCCUGAUGCAGCGACGCCGCGUGAGCGAUGAAGGCCUUCGGGUCGUAAAGCUCUGUCGCAUGGGAAUAACACAAUG
rnacentral:rRNA from 1 species